UACAGAGGGUCUCAAGCGUUGUUCGGAUUCAUUGGGCGUAAAGGGUGCGUAGGCGGCGCGGUAAGUCGGGUGUGAAAAUCUCGGAGCUUAACUCCGAAACUGCAUUCGAUACUGCCGUGCUUGAGGACUGGAGAGGAGACUGGAAUUUACGGUGUAGCGGUGAAAUGCGUAGAUAUCGUAAGGAAGACCAGUGGCGAAGGCGGGUCUCUGGACAGUUCCUGACGCUGAGGCACGAAGGUCAGGGGAGCAAACGGG
rnacentral:rRNA from 1 species